UACGAAGGGGGCUAGCGUUGCUCGGAAUCACUGGGCGUAAAGCGCACGUAGGCGGAUUGUUAAGUCAGGGGUGAAAUCCUGGAGCUCAACUCCAGAACUGCCUUUGAUACUGGCGAUCUCGAGUCCGGGAGAGGUGAGUGGAACUGCGAGUGUAGAGGUGAAAUUCGUAGAUAUUCGCAAGAACACCAGUGGCGAAGGCGGCUCUCUGGACCACAACUGACGCUGAGGCGCGAAAGCUAGGGGAGCAAACAGG
rnacentral:rRNA from 1 species